rnacentral:tRNA from 1 species
GGAGACCUGCCUGAGUGGUCGAUAGGGACACCCUGCUAAGGUGCUAACGGCGUUAGCCGUUCGAGAGUUCGAAUCUCUCGGUCUCCG